UUCAAUACGCAGCACGGCAGCAACGCAGCUCUCACUCUCUCUCUCUCUCUCUCUCUCAGCUUAGAAAUACCACGACUCCAUCUUCACUGAUAGCCGUUGCUUUGCUUUGCUGAGCAGGUAACCUCUCCCUCUCUCUCAUUUGUAUAUAUUUUUGGUUCUUAGAUAUAAUCUUGAUGUUUUUAUCUCAGAUUCCCUGUUCCAUUAUUCUGUUCAGGGUCGCUGUUUCCACUUCGAGAUCUCUAUCUUGUUCGCUUCAGUUUGAGAAUUGAGAGGUAAUAAUUUCUUGAGUCACCUUUAUGAGUCUUUUUUUUUCCAGAUCUCUAUCCUGUUCCAUUAUUCUUUUUUUUUCUCUUUCGUUGAGGUUCUUUUGACAAAUUCUUUUAGGACUUGUUUGAUUAUUCGGAUUGGUCAAGUAGUCCCCGGACUAGGACUACUUGGCGGACUAACAAAAUCAUGAAACACAGGACUCGUUGUUCCAUGUAUGGAGAACUAUUUGGUCUUUUUGGACUAGUAGUUCGGAGCCAUUUAAAAAAAAUAAACGCAGGAUUGGACUGGAUUUGUAGUCCAGUCCUGCCUAGUCUGGCCUGCCUAGUCUGGCCUAAUCGGGUAAUCAAACAUGCCAGUUUUAGUCUAACCCAAAAACACAUUCUGUUUUUUUUAGAUAUGUAUAUUCGAAUUUUUUCCUCGCAGUGGUGUUUGGUUGUGCCUUGUGAGAGAACCAAUAUUAAAGGUUGCUACCCUGUUUUAUUCAUGUUUUUAGAUAUUUUUGUUUUAUUCAAUCCAAGUUAAUUAAAUGGAAAAAAUGAAGCUCACCAAAAAUUUUACUCAUCCUAUGAGACAGGACAUCGAUGGCUGGCUCACACAGGUCUCCCAAUGAACCAAAUGCUCUGAGGUUUUGUGGAUUCUGUUGUUUUGAAAAGUUUGUGUUUUGGUGGGUUUGGAUGAAGGCUGUGUUCGUUAAUGGAGACAGUAGUUUGAUUUGUUCUUGAUUGAUAUUCUUGUUAAUUUGUGCGCUUUAGGGGGAUUUGUGGUGUUUGAUGUGCUCAAGAGAGUCUUCUUCUGUGUGUUGAUCUUCCCAUUAUAGUACUCUUGUGUUAUUUGGCAUGUAUGUCUAUGAUUAUUUCACUUCUUUCCCUUUUCCUGUAUGUUUAUGUUUAUUCGUUCAUUGUAUGUAUCUGUUUAUGAAGCUGGUUUUCAUUAGAUUCUGCCCCUGAUUUUUGGGUAUGAAAUUUAG
rnacentral:lncRNA from 1 species